UACAGAGGGGGCAAGCGUUGUUCGGAAUUACUGGGCGUAAAGGGCGCGUAGGCGGCCUGCUAAGUCGAACGUGAAAUCCCUGGGCUCAACCCAGGAACUGCGUCCGAUACUGGUUGGCUUGAAUCCGGGAGAGGGACGUGGAAUUCCAGGUGUAGCGGUGAAAUGCGUAGAUAUCUGGAGGAACACCGGUGGCGAAGGCGACGUCCUGGACCGGUAUUGACGCUGAGGCACGAAAGCGUGGGGAGCAAACAGG
rnacentral:rRNA from 1 species